rnacentral:rRNA from 1 species
CACGUAGGGGGCAAGCGUUGUCCGGAUUUAUUGGGCGUAAAGCGCACGUAGGCGGUUCGUUAUGUCGGAUGUGAAAGCCCUGGGCUUAACCGAGGAAGUGCAUCCGAAACUGGCGAGCUAGAGUACGAAAGAGGAUCGCGGAAUUCCCGGUGUAGAGGUGAAAUUCGUAGAUAUCGGGAGGAACACCGGUGGCGAAGGCGGCGAUCUGGGUCGAUACUGACGCUGAGGUGCGAAAGCGUGGGGAGCAAACAGG